ACUGCCAUUGAUACUGAUAGCCUUGAGUUGCUUAACGGUAGGCGGAAUGUGUAAUGUAAGCGGUGAAAUGCUUAGAUAUUACAACAGAAACACCAAUUGCGUAGGCAGCUUACUGAGCCCGACACUGACGCUGAGGCACGAAAGCGUGGGGAUCGAACAGGAUUAGAUACCUGGUAGUGCACGCCGUAAACGAUGAUUACUCGCUGUUGGCGAUACACUGUCAGCGGCUAAGCAAAAGCAAUAAGUAAUCCACCUGGGGAGUACGGCCGCAAGGUUGAAACUCAAAGGAAUUGACGGGGGCCCGCACAAGCGGAGGAACAUGUGGUUUAAUUCGAUGAUACGCGAGGAACCUUACCUGGGCUUAAAUGUAGAGUGCAUUUUCUAGAGAUAGGAAUUCUCUUCGGGGCUUUCUGCAAGGUGCUGCAUGGUUGUCGUCAGCUCGUGCCGUGAGGUGUCGGGUUAAGUCCCAUAACGAGCGCAACCCUUAUCGUUAGUUGCCAUCUGGUAAAGCAGGGGACUCUAGCGAAACUGCCACCGUAAGGUGAGAGGAAGGUGGGGAUGACGUCAAAUCAGCACGGCCCUUAUGUCCAGGGCUACACACGUGUUACAAUGGUCGGUACAGAGGGCAGCUACCUGGUGACAGGAUGCUAAUCUCGAAAACCGGUCUCAGUUCGGAUCGAAGUCUGCAACUCGA
rnacentral:rRNA from 1 species